rnacentral:lncRNA from 1 species
UAUUUAUAUCUAUAAUACUAAUAAUAUAAAAUGAUAUAUAAUGAUAUUAUAUUUAUUAUAUUACAUUACAUUAUACUAUAUUAAUCAUAAUAUAAUUGUAAUAAUAGUAUAAUUACAUUACAGUAUAAUAUUAUAAUUACAUAAAGUAUGAUAUAAUAAUAUUAGUGAAGGUAAUCUUACCAUGUCAAUUGUAGGAUGAUCACAUGCUCCCCACAUUAGACAACCAAGC